rnacentral:rRNA from 1 species
AUUGAACGCUGGCGGCAGGCCUAACACAUGCAAGUCGAACGGUAACAGGAAGCAGCUUGCUGCUUCGCUGACGAGUGGCGGACGGGUGAGUAAUGUCUGGGAAGCUGCCUGAUGGAGUGGGAUAACUACUGGAAACGGUAGCUAAUACCGCAUAAUGUCGCAAGACCAAAGAGGGGGACCUUCGGGCCUCUUGCCAUCGGAUGUGCCCAGAUGGGAUUAGCUUGUUGGUGGGGUAACGGCUCACCAAGGCGACGAUCCCUAGCUGGUCUGAGAGGAUGACCAGCCACACUGGAACUGAGACACGGUCCAGACUCCUACGGGAGGCAGCAGUGGGGAAUAUUGCACAAUGGGCGCAAGCCUGAUGCAGCCAUGCCGCGUGUAUGAAGAAGGCCUUCGGGUUGUAAAGUACUUUCAGCGGGGAGGAAGGGAGUAAAGUUAAUACCUUUGCUCAUUGACGUUACCCACAGAAGAAACACCGGCUAACUCCGUG